ensembl:lncRNA
GGAUAGCCUUCAUGGAUCUGUGACUGAAAUGUCACGGUGGAAUCAGGAAUCAGGAAUCAGGAAAACGUCCUGUUAAAUGUUCACUAGGUUCUGUUGAAUAAAUCACAAAGCAGAACCUCACCUGACAAACAUGCUGGAUGAACAAAAUAUUUAGUUUUUUCAAUAAAUGCCCUGUUUGGGGAAGAAAUCGUUCUAAUCGUGAUCUGAAAAAUGCCGAACGUCAAAAAAUGUCAAGCAAGCACUGAAGUAAUUUAGUAUUCAACAGGAAGUAGCAUUUUUUAUGGUCAGUAUGUUUUUACUUAAAAAUGUUAUUUUAUUCUGUGACAGAUUAAUUCUUAUAUGAACAAAAUGUUGCAAUAUAAGUCAUUCAACAGUUAUGAAACUGUACAAUGUUUCUCCCAAUAUUUUUAUUUAUUUAAGUCAUUUGUACACAGUCUAUUAAAAAAACAACAACACUAGUCUCAGAAGUUUUGAAUUAACAAAGAUCUACGAGCACUGCGAUGAACCUUCAGAGGCACAGUGGCUUGUAGCUUUUGAGCUAGCAAGAUUGUUUCAUCCGUUGUUUUGUACUAUUUUUAUAACAUUUAUUCACAUGUGAAAGUGCUGAUCUGAAGUGUUUUAAAUAAUAUCCAUAGAGUUGGACUACAAUUACAGUUUCUGCAGUUUGGCAUUAGCUAAAAAACAGCACAUCAUACGGUCAUAACACAAUACAUUAGACCAACUGGAUGGUUAAUCGAAAGAAAAGCAAUCGGUAAUUAUUAUUUUGCAUAAGAAAAUUAAUUUCUUAUGCAAAAUUGCAGAAAAUGUCUUACUUUCUGUUGUUUAUCUUAUCAUUUUGGACUGAUCAAAAAGAGACAUUUAAAUACUUACCUUUGACAUCUCAGUUUUUAAUAUUAUAUACAUUUUAUAGACCAACGGACAUUAAUUAACCUAGACAAUAAUCUACAUUUGGAAUAUUUGGUAUUCAGUAAAAACCUACCAAUGUACAAAUCAAAAUAAUCGCACUCACACUACACAAUUGCUGUGUAAAUGUUUUCCCAACUCUGCAGAUUGAUUAAAUAUUUCCCUGUUACUAUUAAUGAGUUUCAAAUAUGUAAAAAUAAACUGGACAAUUUGAUAUUUUUGUGAACAGUAUUUUGCGGCUGACAGACAAUAUUACUCCAAAAAGUUUACAACGUACGCACACAAAAUGUGUUUGUCCUCAAACCCGGAGACAUCCUUUGAGAUCAUUUCCCCCCUGGUCGACUCGGACCCGAGCCUUUAGUAAACUUAACAUAUUGUUGUUAAUCUAAGGACUUAGUUUGGAUUUGUGAUCUCGCUCUCUCCGACUUGCGUCCUUUCAAUCUGUGAUCUUUUCAAGCAAAUUCGUAUCCACGGUAAAUGAUACAUGUUUAAAACCCAAAGCUUAUUUGUACUUGACAGAGAGGUUGAAAGACAAAUCUGUACAAAAUAAACG